rnacentral:rRNA from 1 species
UACCAGCACCCCGAGUGGUCGGGACGAUUAUUGGGCCUAAAGCAUCCGUAGCCGGUUCUACAAGUCUUCCGUUAAAUCCAGCUGCUUAACAGAUGGGCUGCGGAGGAUACUAUAAGACUAGGAGGCAGGAGAGGCAAGCGGUACUCAGUGGGUAGGGGUAAAAUCCGUUGAUCCAUUGAAGACCACCAGUGGCGAAGGCGGCUUGCCAGAACGCGCUCGACGGUGAGGGAUGAAAGCUGGGGGAGCAAACCGG